rnacentral:misc_RNA from 1 species
GAUGAAGAACGCAGCGAAAUGCGAUACUUGGUGUGAAUUGCAGAAUCCCGCGAAUCAUCGAGUUUUUGAACGCAAGUUGCGCCCGAAGCCAUUCGGCCGAGGGCACGUCUGCCUGGGUGUCACGCAUCGUUGCCCCCCCAAACUCCGGUUCGGGCAGGGCGGAAGUUGGCCUCCCGUGCGUGCCUGCGCGCGCGGUUAGCCCAAAAGCGAGUCCUCGGCGACGAGCGCCACGACAAUCGGUGGUUUUUUUACCCUCGUUCCUCGUCGUGCGUGCCCCGUCGCCCGAACGCGCUCUUGCGACCCUUACGCGUCGCCUCGGUGGCGCUCCCAACGCGACCCCAGGUCAGGCGGGACUACCCGCUGAGUUUAAGCAUAUCAAUAAGCGGAGGA